rnacentral:rRNA from 1 species
UACGGGGGGGGCAAGCGUUGUUCGGAAUUACUGGGCGUAAAGGCGCGUAGGCGGCCUGCUAAGUCGGAUGUGAAAUCCCUCGGCUCAACCGAGGAACUGCAUCCGAUACUGGCGGGCUUGAAUCCGGGAGAGGGAUGUGGAAUUCCAGGUGUAGCGGUGAAAUGCGUAGAUAUCUGGAGGAACACCGGUGGCGAAGGCGGCAUCCUGGACCGGUAUUGACGCUGAGGCGCGAAAGCUAGGGGAGCAAACGGG